rnacentral:rRNA from 1 species
GACGAACGCUGGCGGCGUGCCUAAUACAUGCAAGUCGAGCGAAGUUUUUCUGGUGCUUGCACUAGAAAAACUUAGCGGCGAACGGGUGAGUAACACGUAAAGAACCUGCCUCAUAGACUGGGACAACUAUUGGAAACGAUAGCUAAUACCGGAUAACAGCAUUAACUGCAUGGUUGAUGUUUGAAAGUUGGUUAUGCUAACACUAUGAGAUGGCUUUGCGGUGCAUUAGCUAGUUGGUGGGGUAAAGGCCCACCAAGGCGACGAUGCAUAGCCGACCUGAGAGGGUGAUCGGCCACACUGGGACUGAGACACGGCCCAGACUCCUACGGGAGGCAGCAGUAGGGAAUCUUCCGCAAUGGGCGAAAGCCUGACGGAGCAACGCCGCGUGAGUGAAGAAGGAUUUCGGUUCGUAAAGCUCUGUUGUUAGGGAAGAAUGGAUAUGUAGUAACUAUACAUAUAAGAGACG